rnacentral:rRNA from 1 species
AAAUUGAAGAGUUUGAUCAUGGCUCAGAUUGAACGCUGGCGGCAGGCCUAACACAUGCAAGUCGAACGGUAACAGGAAGCAGCUUGCUGCUUCGCUGACGAGUGGCGGACGGGUGAGUAAUGUCUGGGAAACUGCCUGAUGGAGGGGGAUAACUACUGGAAACGGUAGCUAAUACCGCAUAACGUCGCAAGACCAAAGAGGGGGACCUUCGGGCCUCUUGCCAUCGGAUGUGCCCAGAUGGGAUUAGCUUGUUGGUGGGGUAACGGCUCACCAAGGCGACGAUCCCUAGCUGGUCUGAGAGGAUGACCAGCCACACUGGAACUGAGACACGGUCCAGACUCCUACGGGAGGCAGCAGUGGGGAAUAUUGCACAAUGGGCGCAAGCCUGAUGCAGCCAUGCCGCGUGUAUGAAGAAGGCCUUCGGGUUGUAAAGUACUUUCAGCGGGGAGGAAGGGAGUAAAGUUAAUACCUUC